UCUGCGAUUUCCGAAUGGGGAAACCCAACUGCAUAAGCAGUUACUGUUAACUGAAUACAUAGGUUAACAGAGCAAACCGGGGGAACUGAAACAUCUAAGUACCCCGAGGAGAAGAAAUCAACCGAGAUUCCGGUAGUAGCGGCGAGCGAACCUGGAUUAGCCCUUAAGCACUCGGUGAAGUAGGUGAACAAGCUGGAAAGCUUGGCGAUACAGGGUGAUAGCCCCGUAACCGACGCUUCAUCGAGCGUGAAAUCGAGUAGGGCGGGACACGUGAUAUCCUGUCUGAAUAUGGGGGGACCAUCCUCCAAGGCUAAAUACUCCUGACUGACCGAUAGUGAACCAGUACCGUGAGGGAAAGGCGAAAAGAACCCCUGUGAGGGGAGUGAAAUAGAACCUGAAACCGUGUACGUACAAGCAGUAGGAGCACCUUCGUGGUGUGACUGCGUACCUUUUGUAUAAUGGGUCAGCGACUUAUAUUCAGUGGCAAGGUUAACCGUAUAGGGGAGCCGUAGCGAAAGCGAGUCUUAACUGGGCGCUCAGUCUCUGGAUAUAGACCCGAAACCGGGUGAUCUAGCCAUGGGCAGGUUGAAGGUUGAGUAACAUCAACUGGAGGACCGAACCGACUAAUGUUGAAAAAUUAGCGGAUGACUUGUGGCUAGGGGUGAAAGGCCAAUCAAACUCGGAGAUAGCUGGUUCUCCCCGAAAGCUAUUUAGGUAGCGCCUCGGACGAAUACUACUGGGGGUAGAGCACUGUUAAGGCUAGGGGGUCAUCCCGACUUACCAACCCUUUGCAAACUCCGAAUACCAGUAAGUACUAUCCGGGAGACACACGGCGGGUGCUAACGUCCGUCGUGGAGAGGGAAACAACCCAGACCGCCAGCUAAGGUCCCAAAGUAUUGCUAAGUGGGAAACGAUGUGGGAAGGCUCAGACAGCUAGGAUGUUGGCUUAGAAGCAGCCAUCAUUUAAAGAAAGCGUAAUAGCUCACUAGUCGAGUCGGCCUGCGCGGAAGAUGUAACGGGGCUAAGCAAUACACCGAAGCUGCGGCAAUAUCUUUUAGAUAUUGGGUAGGGGAGCGUUCUGUAAGCCGUUGAAGGUGAAUCGUAAGGUUUGCUGGAGGUAUCAGAAGUGCGAAUGCUGACAUGAGUAACGACAAAGGGGGUGAAAAACCUCCUCGCCGGAAGACCAAGGGUUCCUGUCCAACGUUAAUCGGGGCAGGGUGAGUCGACCCCUAAGGUGAGGCCGAAAGGCGUAAUCGAUGGGAAACGGGUUAAUAUUCCCGUACUUCUGACUAUUGCGAUGGGGGGACGGAGAAGGCUAGGUGGGCCAGGCGACGGUUGUCCUGGUUCAAGUGCGUAGGCUUGAGAGUUAGGUAAAUCCGGCUCUCUCUAAGGCUGAGACACGACGUCGAGCUGCUACGGCAGUGAAGUCAUUGAUGCCAUGCUUCCAGGAAAAGCCUCUAAGCUUCAGAUAGUCAGGAAUCGUACCCCAAACCGACACAGGUGGUCGGGUAGAGAAUACCAAGGCGCUUGAGAGAACUCGGGUGAAGGAACUAGGCAAAAUGGUACCGUAACUUCGGGAGAAGGUACGCUCUUGAUGGUGAAGUCCCUCGCGGAUGGAGCUGACGAGAGUCGCAGAUACCAGGUGGCUGCAACUGUUUAUUAAAAACACAGCACUGUGCAAAAUCGCAAGAUGACGUAUACGGUGUGACGCCUGCCCGGUGCCGGAAGGUUAAUUGAUGGGGUUAGCGCAAGCGAAGCUCUUGAUCGAAGCCCCGGUAAACGGCGGCCGUAACUAUAACGGUCCUAAGGUAGCGAAAUUCCUUGUCGGGUAAGUUCCGACCUGCACGAAUGGCGUAAUGAUGGCCACGCUGUCUCCACCCGAGACUCAGUGAAAUUGAAAUCGCUGUGAAGAUGCAGUGUACCCGCGGCUAGACGGAAAGACCCCGUGAACCUUUACUACAGCUUGGCACUGAACAUUGAACCUACAUGUGUAGGAUAGGUGGGAGGCUAUGAAGACGUGACGCCAGUUGCGUUGGAGCCGUCCUUGAAAUACCACCCUUGUAUGUUUGAUGUUCUAACUUAGACCCAUUAUCUGGGUUGAGGACAGUGCCUGGUGGGUAGUUUGACUGGGGCGGUCUCCUCCCAAAGAGUAACGGAGGAGCACGAAGGUGGGCUAAUCACGGUUGGACAUCGUGAGGUUAGUGCAAUGGCAUAAGCCCGCUUAACUGCGAGAAUGACGGUUCGAGCAGGUGCGAAAGCAGGUCAUAGUGAUCCGGUGGUUCUGUAUGGAAGGGCCAUCGCUCAACGGAUAAAAGGUACUCCGGGGAUAACAGGCUGAUACCGCCCAAGAGUUCAUAUCGACGGCGGUGUUUGGCACCUCGAUGUCGGCUCAUCACAUCCUGGGGCUGAAGUCGGUCCCAAGGGUAUGGCUGUUCGCCAUUUAAAGUGGUACGCGAGCUGGGUUUAGAACGUCGUGAGACAGUUCGGUCCCUAUCUGCCGUGGGCGUUGGAAGAUUGAAGGGGGCUGCUCCUAGUACGAGAGGACCGGAGUGGACGAACCUCUGGUGUUCGGGUUGUGUCGCCAGACGCAUUGCCCGGUAGCUAAGUUCGGAAUUGAUAAGCGCUGAAAGCAUCUAAGCGCGAAGCGAGCCCUGAGAUGAGUCUUCCCUGAUACUUUAAGUAUCCUAAAGGGUUGUUCGAGACUAGAACGUUGAUAGGCAGGGUGUGUAAGCGUUGUGAGGCGUUGAGCUAACCUGUACUAAUUGCCCGUGAGGCUUAACCAU
rnacentral:rRNA from 1 species